rnacentral:rRNA from 1 species
UCGCUACUACCGAUUGAAUGGUAUAGUGAGGUCUCCGGAUUGCCUUUUGGCGAGAUGCUGAACAAACUAUUUCAUUUAGAGGAAGUAAAAGUCGUAACAAGGUUUCCGUAG